rnacentral:lncRNA from 1 species
CGCUGUUCUACUACAUUUAAACUCAGUAAAACAUCAAACAAACUCUGCUCUCUGACUGUGUCGCAGCUUCCACACACAGAUCCCAGAUCAGUAGGGGAAGAGCCGUGGGAGCAUUAGCGACUUAUUCCAUUGUCAUUUAAAUCAAGGCUUAUUGCAAUAUGCUUUGAUGUAAUGGGCUCUGAUAUUAUUCCAGGCUGUUCCACUGCAUAUUUUAGGUUACCUCUCCUCUCUGGGUUAGAAUGGUAAUGGGAACAGAGUAGAGUGACUGGGGUAGUGUGCUAAACUAGCUGUACUAAACAGUCUACAGACUGGAGGGAGAGGGAGUUAAGGAGCACAGAGCAUAGUAAUUCUUCCUCAGACUGUAUGGUCUCAGGACUGACGUAGACAUAGUAUUAUAAUGUGGAUGUAAACGGACCAGUGCCUCAAUAACGUAAGAAAUCAAAUGUACCAAUGGUUAUUCAACACAUUUCCAUGAAAUGUUUAUUAGGCUAUUGUUAGACUGUAAUAUUGAAUAUUCAGUCUUUUUAAUGUUUUUAAUCUUUUAUGUGCAUUUCUCUUCCUUCACAGCUUUGCUUCCACUCAACAAAGCACACUGUCGUUUGGUGCUCUGGCCAACCAGAGUGCCCCAUCAUUUGGUAACCUGGCCCAGCAGCAGCAGGGGUCAGGGUUCGGAGCUCCUCAACCCAGCGGCUUCUCUGGGUUCGGACAGCAGGGAGGAGGAGGCUUUGGGUCUGCUGGCGGUUUUGGAUCGAAUCAAUCAUCUUCUCAAACGUUUGGAGCCGGUCCGGGUUGGAGAAGCUAGUUUUUGUUGACCCCCCUCCCCCAUGCCCCCAGGCGAGUGCACCCCUGGUGUGUGUGACCAGCAACACUGCUCUCUGCAAUCAAGCUCUUUGAGUAGACUACACCUAAAGGGAGAAGGGGGAGGAAGGGUGCGCAGGUUGGGGGUGGAAGAAAGGGGGGUUGAGGUGAGACAGUCCAAACUAGUUGUAAAGUAUGUAGACUGAUCUUAUAGACCAUCGUAAUAGUCUUACGUCAAGUACAUCAGGGGUGACUACCAUGUGGAAUGUGUAUUUGGAUGAGUGAAUUUACAUUUUGUGUGUGUUUUUCAAAUCAGAACAGUUGGCUGUAACGCUAUAAUAGAUUUGUUCAUCCAUAUGAACUUUGUUUUCCUCUAAAAUAAUUCUGCAGUUCAUAAUUGAGCCUCAUUCUCACAUAUUUUGAAUCUGGGAAAGUUUUAAACUUUUAAUUGAAGUUUUAAGAUAUCUUAUAUUCCAAGCUUUAGUAGUUCUGAUAAGAAUCAGUUCUUAAUGUUUCUCGAAAUAUGUCUUGUCUCACUAAAUGGAGUAGAAAAUACCAUCCUCUGCAACAAUAAUUCAUAAUUUACUGACUCCAGGCAAGACUUCGGCAGGUCGUUGAUAGAAGUAUCAACUCUUGAUUGCGUACAAUGAACUGCAAUAUGAGAAAAUAUUUUGCUUUUUAUAAUGCCUACUGCUGGUACCCCCAUUCCUAUAAAUAUGUAUAUUUUAUACAUGGAAAAUGGGAAAUAAACUUGGCAAUUCUCAAAUCUGUAUCUAAUGUAGUCUCUCUUUUUUUGACAACGCACUGAAGAUGAGCACUAAUUGAUUGCCUUUUAUUGUUUUAAUGAUGACAGCCUCUGGCUAUUUUCCUAUUGCCUUUGUGUCUGUUUUAUUUAUUUUUUAUUUAACUAGGCAAGUCAGUUAAGAACAAAUUCUUAUUUACAAUGACGGCCUACCGCGGCCAUAUCCUCCCCUAACCCGGACGACACUGGGCCAAUAGUGCCCCACCCUAUGGGACUCCCGAUCAUGGCCUGUUGUGAUACAGCCCGGAAUCAAUCCAGGGUCUGUAGUGAUGCCUCUAGCACUGCAAUGCAGUGCCUUAGACUGCUGCGCCACUCGGGAGUCUGUCUGUCUGCUUAUUAAACAGAAGAUUUCAUAUAUGAUUAGCUUGCUGUUUAACAAUUAGAUGUCUUUGGACUAAAUACUUUACUGUCUAUUGUAUCCGUGGGGAAAAUUUGUUGCAGUAUCAUGUAAGUUGAAUUAAUUACAUCAAUUAAAUACAUCAUCAACCUUGAAUUAAGAGUAUUUGAAUCAGAGAAGAGCUGCUGAAGAGGGUUGUCUCUGGCAUUAGCUGGCGAAAAUUAAUUAAUUGAAUGCAGCAAAAGUAAGGUAAGGGAGCUCCAGGCGGGUGGAGGAAUUCACUGGCCCUUAUUAAUUAUUAGACAUUUGGAUGUAAGCCUAAGACAUUGCAGGAAUGAGUGUAUAGUGAAAAGAGGGGUGCUAUUGUUUUGUAGUGGUAUCUGGUCUUUGUGGCUGUCACCAGAAUGCCAUCCAUGGUCACCGCAAUUGAGAAUGUCACCGUCGCUCUGUCCCAUUAACUCUGGCGGGCCUGGCAAUGGGGGGAAUGUUGCAAGCCCGGACACUCAAGUGAUUGGGGAAUGUUGCAGUCACAACAUGUGAUCUAGAGUCCUAGCUUCCCACUGUAACAGUUGGAUUUAUCCUCCCCUGUUUGCUAGGAUAUGAUUGGUCACACACACUGUGUUCAGGGCAGAUAAUAUUAGAGAUGG